UACGUAGGUGGCAAGCGUUGUCCGGAAUUAUUGGGCGUAAAGCGCGCGCAGGCGGCCUUUUAAGUCUGAUGUGAAAGCCCACGGCUCAACCGUGGAAGGUCAUUGGAAACUGAAAGGCUUGAGUACAGAAGAGGAAAGCGGAAUUCCACGUGUAGCGGUGAAAUGCGUAGAGAUGUGGAGGAACACCAGUGGCGAAGGCGGCUUCUGGUCUGUAACUGACGCUGAUGCGCGAAAGCGUGGGUAGCAAACAGG
rnacentral:rRNA from 1 species